rnacentral:rRNA from 1 species
UACGUAGGGUGCAAGCGUUGUCCGGAAUUAUUGGGCGUAAAGAGCUCGUAGGCGGUUUGUCGCGUCUGCUGUGAAAACCCGAGGCUCAACCUCGGGCCUGCAGUGGGUACGGGCAGACUAGAGUGCGGUAGGGGAGACUGGAAUUCCUGGUGUAGCGGUGAAAUGCGCAGAUAUCAGGAGGAACACCAGUGGCGAAGGCGGCUCACUGGACUGGUAUUGACGCUGAUGUGCGAAAGCGUGGGGAGCAAACAGG